AUGAAGGAUAGAAAUAUGCUAUUUGCUGCUAUUCCAUCUAUUUGUGCAUCAAGUUCGAAGAAGAUCUCAAUCUAUAAUGAAGAAAUGAUAGUAGCUCGUUAUUUUAUAGGCUUUCUCAUAUUCGGUCGGAAGAGUUUAGAUAAGACUUUCAAAGAAACUCUCGACGGGAGAAUCGAGUCUAUCCAGAAAGAAUUGCUGCAAUUCUUCAAUCCUAACGAAGUAAAGUUAUAUAAUAUAAAAUUUUAA
rnacentral:rRNA from 1 species